rnacentral:lncRNA from 1 species
AGUUAGAGUCACAAGACUGGAUCUUUAGCCUCAAAGGAGCUGCAACCUAUUCUGUUUUCACCCUCUGUUUGUACSCUCUGUUUAAAAACAUAUGGUUGAUCAGUUUCAUUUUUACGUGGAGUGCAGUGCUCAGAUGUCUCUACAGUUUCAUACUURCCCUCUUCUGCCAGAGCUAACUGAAAAACACCAAAACCAUGAGGUACACAGGAACAAACUCCUCUGGGCUCUGCCCAUCUUUAUUGCCUCUCAGCUCUGAUCCCAGCACUCCUUACACUCCUGCAGCUGUACCCUGGAUCUCUCACCUGGAGAUGCUGUCAGCUGUCUCUUAAGUUCUUGCUUUGGUUUGUUUUACUUAGAGCCAAAGGAUUUGAGACAAUCAGGCAUCAGUGUCAGAGCUGCAACUGGUCACCAUUAUGGAACAAACCUCCAUCAUCCAGUUCCCACUGGCUAAUGCAUCCGAAAGGCUCCUGUAGCCCUUCCUCCUGUAUCAGUACCUGGAACUGUUUAAAAUCUCAUUGMAGAUCUCCAGCAUGGAGCUCUCUAAACUUUACCUGUCCCUGUUACCACCACCUGAUCCUUCUAGUCUGCAGCUUGCAUCUGAGAGAAGAGCAAGAAUCAACAAAACAGGGCUGCAGCUCUUUGCACAGCCGGAACUUCCAGAGAGCAAGCUCUAGGUAGGGCAAAGACACACAAGCUGUAUAUUGUAUUGUCAAAAAGCCCAUGACUCGCUAAAGCCUCUGGCCUCUGCAGUCCAGGCAGUUCUGUGCUAGCUGAAUUCAUUGGUAUGCAUUUAGCUUGCUUUCCCAUCUCGAKUCUCUUUGGCGUGACUUGUUUUUUCAUAAGUGCUUGCCAAGUGAUUUAGACGAGCAAUUAUCAGCUGAUUUUCACUAGAUCUUACUUCCCAUCCCAUGAGCUUCUGAGUGUCUGAAACUGUUUUCUGCUUGAAUUAGGACAGAGUCAAACUGUCAAAAAUGUCAUGGAAUAGCCCAUUUAAAAAUAUUAGGUUUGAAUUAAUCUAAAUAUUUGAUUUGAAUAAUUUAGAAAUAUGUCAUCCUUUUCCAACCUUUUUU